rnacentral:rRNA from 1 species
CGGAGGGUGCGAGCGUUGUCCGGAUUUAUUGGGUUUAAAGGGUGCGUAGGUGGCUGUUUAAGUCAGUGGUGAAAUACGGUUGCUCAACAAUCGAGGUGCCAUUGAUACUGAAUAGCUUGAAAUAAUUGGAGGCUGCCGGAAUGGAUGGUGUAGCGGUGAAAUGCAUAGAUAUCAUCCAGAACACCGAUUGCGAAGGCAGGUGGCUACGAUUUAUUUGACACUGAGGCACGAAAGCAUGGGGAGCAAACAGGAUUAGAUACCCUGGUAGUCCAUGCCGUAAACGAUGAGGACUCGCUGUUGGUGUUCAUGCAUCAGCGGCUUAGGGAAACCGUUAAGUCCUCCACCUGGGGAGUACGCCGGCAACGGUG